GUGAUAAGCUAAUAUAUUAAAAAGCUUGGGAAGUGACAGUUCCUUUUAUGUAAUUAUUGAGUGAUUCUAAAUGAACUGCACUGAUUAAUCUAUUUUACCAGUACAGAACCAGGAUUAUUCUCUAAACCAGGGGUUGGUGGUAGCGGCGGGCAGUGCUGGCCAGCGCUGAGAGGAAAUGAUUUUAGAGCACUCCCACCCAACAGUCUAAAAGUAGAAACCGCGUGGGACCAGAGGAGUGUGCCACAGCAGUACUGUGCCUUCUCAGCCUAGUUCCCACAAACAUCUUCACCAACACAAAUAUUUAAAACAGCCCACAACCACACACACAGAUUUACAGACAGCGCCCAUACCUAAAACCUCACAAGAAGCACCUCCACGCAACAUGAAAAAAUCGACCUCACACACAAUAUAUACAGCCCACAAUACAUGCAUAAACAAACACACACAAUAUAUACAACCCACAAUACAUGCAUAAACACACACACACAAUAUAUAUACACAACCCACAAUACAUGCAUAAACACACACACACACACACACUAUAUACAACCCACAAUACAUGCAUUAACACACACACAAUAUAUACAGCCCAUAAUACAUGCAUAAACACACACACACAAUAUAUACAACCCACAAUACAUGCAUAAACACACACACUAUAUACAGCCC